rnacentral:rRNA from 1 species
CCUACGGGUGGCAGCAGUAGGGAAUCUUUCACAAUUGGCGAAAGCCUGAUGGAGCAACGCCGCGUGCAGGAUGAAGGCCUUCGGGUUGUAAACUGCUUUUAUAAGCGAGAAAUAUGAUGGUAACUUAUGAAUAAGGAUCGGCUAACUACGUGCCAGCAGCCGCGGUCAUACGUAGGAUCCGAGCAUUAUCCGGAGUGACUGGGUGUAAAGAGUUGCGUAGGGGGCAUAAUAGGUAGCUAGUGAAAUCUGGUGGCUCAACCAUUCAGACUAUUGGCUAAACUGUUAAGCUCGAGACCGUGAGGGGUAACUGGAAUUUCUGGUGUAGGAGUGAAAUCCGUAGAUAUUAGAAGGAACACCAAUAGCGUAGGCAGGUUGCUGGGACGGUUCUGACACUAAGGCACGAAAGCGUAGGGAGCAAACGGGAUUAGAUACCCGAGUAGUC